rnacentral:rRNA from 1 species
AUUGAACGCUGGCGGCAUGCCUUACACAUGCAAGUCGAACGGUAACAGGUCUUCGGAUGCUGACGAGUGGCGAACGGGUGAGUAAUACAUCGGAACGUGCCUAGUAGUGGGGGAUAACUACUCGAAAGAGUGGCUAAUACCGCAUGAGAUCUAAGGAUGCAAGCAGGGGAUCGCAAGACCUUGUGCUACUAGAUCGGCCGAUGGCAGAUUAGGUAGUUGGUGGGAUAAAAGCUUACCAAGCCGACGAUCUGUAGCUGGUCUGAGAGGACGAUCAGCCACACUGGGACUGAGACACGGCCCAGACUCCUACGGGAGGCAGCAGUGGGGAAUUUUGGACAAUGGGCGAAAGCCUGAUCCAGCAAUGCCGCGUGCAGGAUGAAGGCCUUCGGGUUGUAAACUGCUUUUGUACGGAACGAAAAGCCCCGGGUUAAUACCCUGGGGUCAUGACGGUACCGUAAGAAUAAGCACCGGCUAACUACGUGCCAGCAGCCGCCGUAA